rnacentral:rRNA from 1 species
GACGAACGCUGGCGGCGUGCCUAAUACAUGCAAGUAGAACGCUGAAGGAGGAGCUUGCUCUUCUGGAUGAGUUGCGAACGGGUGAGUAACGCGUAGGUAACCUGCCUGGUAGCGGGGGACAACUAUUGGAAACGAUAGCUAAUACCGCAUAACAGUAGAUGUUGCAUGACAUUUGCUUAAAAGGUGCAAUUGCACCACUACCAGAUGGACUUGCGUUGUAUUAGCUAGUUGGUGGGGUAACGGCUCACCAAGGCGACGAUACAUAGCCGACCUGGGAAGGUGAUCGGCCACACUGGGACUGAGACACGGCCCAGACUCCUACGGGAGGCAGCAGUAGGGAAUCUUCGGCAAUGGACGGAAGUCUGACCGAGCAACGCCGCGUGAGUGAAGAAGGUUUUCGGAUCGUAAAGCUCUGUUGUAAGAGAAGAACGAGUGUGAGAGUGGAAAGUUCACACUGUGACGGUAUCUUACCAGAAAGGGACGGCUAACUACGUG